rnacentral:tRNA from 1 species
ACCUGGGUGGCUCAGUCGGUUAAGCGCCUGAUUUAGGCUCAGGUCCUGGUCUCAUGCUUGUGGGUUCGAGCCCUACAUCGGGUU